rnacentral:ncRNA from 1 species
GUUGGCGAAGAUGUAUAACCUGUCUAGCUAGAAGAAAUUCAUACGAUGCUUUAAUUUUGAUUAUUCCAAAAGCACAAACUCUAAAUGUCUAAAUUAUCAUUGUGUUCAGAAUUUAAUACUUUCAGGUUAGGAGUUCUAUAUCUGAUGUUUAGUCACUAUUGUCAGAUCGAAAUUUAACAGUUUCGCCCGGCUAGGUUCGGAGUCCCCUCGAUCGGGUCUGCCCAGAGCGGGUGCCAGGCCCAUUCGGAGCCGGCGGCGAUCGGCGGUGUUCUUUUCGGCCCGAGAGUCGGGUUGCUUGGGAACGCAGCCUAAAGCGGGUGGUAAGCUCCAUCCAAGGCUAAAUACGGGGACGAGUCCGACAACCCACAAGUACCGCGAGGGAAAGUUGAAAAGAACUUUGGAGAGAGAGUUCAAGAGACCGUGAAACCGCCCAAGGGUAAACGGGUAGGACCGCUCACCGCGAUUGCGAGGGGCCUCAGUCCGCUGCUACUCCACCCGACUAAGGCGCCGUCGUCGCCGCCGUACGCGUCGG